rnacentral:lncRNA from 1 species
CAGCUGGACUCAGUUUAGAUGAUCCCAAUUUUCUUGACAACAUCCAAAGCAUCAUAGUCAAGAGCCAGUCGAAUAUAUGCCUUCUCUCCAUCCAACCUGAUCAGGGUGUUGACCUUGGCCACAUCAGUGUCAUCAGUCUUCUUCCCAGACUGUUUGAUCUGGUGCUUGUUGGCCUUGACAACACAAGUGUGUUGUCUUCUAUUUUCUUUAUGACUGACUCAGUAGUCAGGGGAAUUUGACAAUGGCAUAGUGGUCAAACUUGUUUCUCCUAGGGAUGCUCUUUGGAGGAUAUUUGGGCUGCCUUCAAAGACAUAGUGUCUUGGACCAUCAGAAGAUAGGUGACAUAUGGAUAUUUUUUUGUGACUGUGGACACUUUUAAGUACCACUUUUUUAGCUUUCAAAGCCUUGGCUUUGGUUUUGGCUUUGGCUUUGGCUUUGGGAGGGGCAGAGUUUUCCUUCUUCACCUUGGGGACCAUCUUCAUAAGAAGAUACCAUCUUAUUUCUCUUAUUGCCUUUUUUAGCAAAUCUUCUGAAGAAAUGUAUUUUCACCCACUAAUUGAAAUUCUUUCCCUCCUCUCUCUCUGAAUCUACUCCAGUCCAAUUUUCACCUCACCACUUCCCUACACCUACCUAUUCUCAUCAAGAUCACCAAAAAAAAUUUCACUGGUUCGUCCUCAUCUCACUUUGUUUAUCAGUAACACCUGACAGAGUUGAUGAUUCCCACCUUCUUGGAAAACUUUCUUUUCCUUGUGGAACUACACACAUACCUGCUUUCCUCCUACACCUUGGCCACUUCCUCUCUGUCUUUCCUGUUUCUUACUCAUCAACCUGAUCUCUAAAUGUGGGCAAGGCCUCCAGACUCAACCUUUAGAUUUCCACCCCUCUAAUCAGUGUAAAAUCUACACCCACUCCCUGGCUAUCUAGUCCUGUCUCAUGGUCAUAUGGACCACCUGAAUGCUGAAGGCUUCUACAUCUAUAUCUCUCUAACCCACAUAUGUCACCUCAACAUGCAGAGCUAAAUAUCAAACUCACAAUUUACAUCUUUAUUUGGGUAUGUAACAGACAUCUCAUACUUCCAGUGCCUAAUUCCAAACUUCUAACUUAUAUUUUCCUCCCUCUUCCCAGAAAUAAAGAUAAAAACAAUCUUCACCUCCUGUACUUUUCUCCUUUUCAGUUUUUGGCAACUUCUUUUUUUAGGCUCAUGCCAAAAUCCUGAGUCAUCUUCCUUCCUUUUAUCUCACACCUCAGAUAUGGUCUGUCAGCAAAACAUGACACUUCUACCUUCAAAACAUAUAAAGAAUUCAACCACAUCUCAUAAUCCUCACUGCCAUUACUCUGGUACAAGCCACUAUCACUUCUUUCUUGAUUUGUUGCAACAGCCUCCGAAAUAGUACAUUUGCUUCUGUCUUUGCCCUCUUUCAGACUCCCAACAUACCAGCCAAAGUGAUUCCAUUAAGACAUGUGUUAGAUAAUGUUAUUCCUCUGCUCAAAACCCUCUAAUGGUCUCCUUUCUACCUACAAGGCAUAAUUUGGGCCCCAAUUGCUUUUAACCUCAUUCCCUCCCACUCUCCUAUUUGCUUCUUUUAGUUUGGUCACUCUGGCUUCCUUACUAUUCCUAAAAUACAUAUGUACUUCAAACUUUAUAUUUUUUCUACCUAAAUGGCUUUUCCCCCAGAGAUCUACCUAGGUAACUUUUUGAUUCCUCUGGUCUUAACUUAAACCUCACUCUCUCAGUGAAGCUUUUUCUGACCCCAUAUCUAAAAUUGCAAAUUUCACACACACCCCAAAUAAUAACUCCCUUCUUGGCCUUUUAUUCCUCAGCAUU